rnacentral:lncRNA from 1 species
AAGGUACGUAGUCCCAGUGACAUGCAAUUUCUUCAACUGUUUCUGUGGAAAACUUAAACUUUCCAGGCGAGACGUAGACAGUGUGAUAUAUCAGCAAGUGGAAUCAAAUCAUCUACAAGACCUGGUCCAAGCCUUUCACACCGUCGAUAUACUCGGAUACCUUCCCUAAAUCUAACAUCCUUUUUUUUACAUGUCUUUAGAGUUUCAACGUCACGGGAUAUGCUAAAUUUUUUAACGAGUAAAAAUGUCCUGUUGGAGGUGAUAAAUCUUUUUUACAUUUUCUUCAUAAUUUUUAUUUACCAAUUUAUUAAUUUUAAUUAGGUAUGAUGAGAUGUCAAUACGAGAUAUACCUUUGGGAUUGCGGAAGGAAUUGCGGAAGAAGAUGAGAUCGAGUCUUGUGGAAUUGCGGAAGAAAUUGAGGUCUGAAUUGGAUUCGAUUAAUUCCACAAACUAUAUAUGAUUGAUAUGUAUUUUAACAGUCGGCUUCAAUGUCUAACAAUUUAAAACCCUUGAUUUUAUUAUGAAAUUAAUCCCUAAUUUUUUUGAAUAUAUGGGCUUUGGUAUGCUAGGGUCCUAAAACAGAUUCGUGAACCAAUAUAUUUCUAGUUGCAUACAGAACAGUAGAACACUAAAAUUAUGAUGAUCAAAGCAUAUAAAACAUAAUUAGCUGAAUUGAUUCUUUCUCUAUAUCAGUCUGUAAAAACUGAUAUUGUAGCGGUGGCUUAUACUAAAUGCUUCUAAGUUCUGCUAUUGUAGAGAGCCGAAGAUGCUGCCCACUGCAUAAUUAUGUUUAUAAAAAAACUAUUUUCUGACAUAAUUAUGUUUAUUGUUUAGUGUUUUAGAAACAAAGUUUGAUUUGAAAUAGAAAAAAGAGAGGAGAAUCUUCAAAAAAAUUUGUUAUCUUGACUGAGCGAUUGUAGCUUUAAAGAGCUUCCAGUCACACACAUUUCUCUAACUUCUUAUGUGGAAACCUUGUCGACAUAGACAGGGUGACAUUUCAGUUACUGGAAGCAAAUGAUCGAGUCAAGUAGACCUGGUAGCUGGUAUCAAGAUCAGGGUCCAGACUCCGGUGACUUGUAGCUUCAUAGUUAUUCCCAGAUUCGCCCUGUCUCGGAACCAUGCCAAGCAGCCAAGGUACGUAGUCCCAGUGACAUGCAAUUUCUUCAACUGUUUCUGUGGAAAACUUAAACUUUCCAGGCGAGACGUAGACAGUGUGAUAUAUCAGCAAGUGGAAUCAAAUCAUCUACAAGACCUGGUCCAAGCCUUUCACACCGUCGAUAUACUCGGAUACCUUCCCUAAAUCUAACAUCCUUUUUUUUACAUGUCUUUAGAGUUUCAACGUCACGGGAUAUGCUAAAUUUUUUA